rnacentral:rRNA from 1 species
ACCCCUACGGGGCGCAGCAGUGAGGAAUAUUGGUCAAUGGGCGGAAGCCUGAACCAGCCAAGUCGCGUGAGGGAAUAAGGCCCUACGGGUCGUAAACCUCUUUUGUCGGGGAGCAAAAGACGCCACGCGUGGCGUUCCGAGAGUACCCGAAGAAAAAGCAUCGGCUAACUCCGUGCCAGCCGCCGCGGUAAUACGGAGGAUGCGAGCGUUAUCCGGCUUUAUUGGGUUUAAAGGGUGCGCAGGCG